UACGUGAGGGGCGAACGUUGUUCGGUGUCACUGGGCUUAAAGGGUGCGUCGGUGGUUGCGUAAGUAACGUGUGAAAUCCCUCGGCUUACCCGGGGAAUUGCGCGUUAUACUGCGUGACUUGAGGAUUUCAGGGGAAUGGGGAACUCCAGGUGUAGCGGUGAAAUGCGUAGAUAUCGUAAGGAAGACCAGUGGCGAAGGCGGGUCUCUGGACAGUUCCUGACGCUGAGGCACGAAGGUCAGGGGAGCAAACGGG
rnacentral:rRNA from 1 species